GACGUAGGGCGCGAGCGUUGUCCGGAUUUAUUGGGCGUAAAGAGCUCGUAGGCGGCUUGUUGCGUCGACUGUGAAAACCCGCGGCUUAACCGCGGGCUUGCAGUUGAUACGGGCAGGCUAGAGUUCGGUAGGGGGAGACUGGAAUUCCUGGUGUAGCGGUGAAAUGCGCAGAUAUCGGGAGGAACACCGGUGGCGAAGGCGGUUCUCUGGGACGGUACUGACGCUGAGACGCGAAAGCGUGGGGAGCGAACAGG
rnacentral:rRNA from 1 species